UUCCGGCCCAGCAUAUUUCAACACAAUUCUUAACUUUCAGAGAAUCUCCCCACUUCACCCAGAGCCAGCCUCACUGAGGCAGAACUCAGAAAGUCUGCUGCCCCUGUAGCAGUGGGGACAGGGGGAUUCUCUAAAGAGACUUGAUUUAAAACUUUGGAAAAAAUUUUUGUCAUCUACUUUCCAAUUGCCAACUAAGAGACUUCAGUUCUGGGGCUCAGGAUGGAAAGAUGAAGAUUCCCUCCUUUAUGCAAAAAACCUUAAACAGUCUAGCUGUUUAUUAUGAGGCCACAUAGGAAGUAGAAGGAAUAAGAAGUGGUCUACCUGCCAUUUCCAUCUCAUUGCAAUUAAAAGGAGUAUGGUACCACCCCAAUUUAGAGAGACAGAGUCUCACUUAACCAUCCUCCGUAGAGUGCCAUGAUGUCACAGGACUCACAGCAACCUCCAGCUCUUGGGCUUUCGCGAUUCUCCUGCCUCAGCCUCCCAAGCAGUUGGGACUACAGGCGCCCGCCACAAUACCCGGCUACUUUUUGGUUGCAGUUCAGCUGGGGCUGGGUUUGAACCCGCCACCUUCCGUAUGUGGGGCCAGCGCCCUACUCACUGAGCCACUUUUACCUAAUGGUGACUUCCGACUGGCGGUUCUCUGCAUCUAGAAAUCCUCUUACUGUCUCUCGUUUCCAUCUCCUCCUUAUUCUGCAAAUUCAUCUCUUCUGAGGAAACUUCCUUAGCCACAGAUUGUUUUGAUGCCAAUACCUUUAUCUGUACCUGAGGAGAAUAGAUGAGAUCCCUUGGGAAGAACAUGCCACAUGAAAACAGAAGAAUUGGUUUGUGGGGGACACACAGAAGAAAGAAUGCCCACCAGGGAGAAGGAAGGGGAGCACAGGAAGGAAGGAGAAACCAGGAGAGGAGCCCAGGAGGGAGAGUUUCCGAGGAUUUAUUGCAUGAAUUUCAUGCAAAUAUUGAUAUAGAUCAUUUGACCCAUUAAACUCAAUUUUAAUUUUAUAUAAACAUCUUGGAUGUUUGUAUAUCUUACUUAUUUGGCACAGACAUUAACAAGAGAGUUGUGAGUAGUCUAAAUAAUUUUAAUUUCCCAUUGAUUAUGUAUUAUAUUCACAUAGUUCAAAACUUGGAAACUUUAGAGAUAUGUGAAAUAUAAAAGCCUCAAUGGGCCCAAGUCACCACGGCAGAGAGGACAAGAAAACAGAAAUGAGACCAUUGUGGGUCUGUGUUGGUAUCUGCUCAUAUGUGCAGAGAGUAACACAGGACUGAUUCUAAGAAUCUAAGAACAGGGCUACCUACAGAGGGGAGUGGGGAGCGGCAGAUGGGAGUGGGCCCUGGGCAGAUGCGGAACGUGUAUGGAAGGGAGGCUUUUGUAUUUUGCAUACUUUCUAAAGUUUCCAAGUUUUGAACUAUGUGAAUGUAAUACAUCAUCAAUGAGUGAAAUUAAAAUUAUUUAGACUACUCCCAACUCUGUUAAUGUCCGUGCCAAAUUAGCAAGAUACACAAAUAUCCAAAAUUUUUAAUAAAAUUAAAAUUGAGUUUAAUGGGUCAAAUGACCUAUAUCAAUAUUUGCAUGAAAUUCAUGCAAUUAAUCCUCGGUAAAAAUCAUUAUGGCAUUUGUUAAUUAUACUCUAUUGGAAAACAGAGGAACUUUUCCAAUCCAUUUAAAUAGGGAAACAUUUUAUUUGUAUUUUUAGUAAUUAAUCAUCUCUGGCUCUCAGUCAAGCAAUCAAAAUAUUCUGAAAUCCUAUAAAGCAUUUGCCUAGUGAUACAAAGCUUCUGGACUCUUCUUUCUCCUUUUUUUUUUAAACGUAGCUAAAGCCCCCCAGAAAUACAAGAUUUAAAUAUACCUAAAAAAAGAUCAAAUAUCAUUCUACCGUUUUGAUUACUUACAACCAAACCAUUCCUUUGGCUUCCGAGGAAUAUUUGUUGAGGGUUUUAGUUUCUAAAAGCUCUCUUUAGGUAAUCAAGAGAUUUUUUCUUUCUUCAUUUAUAUGUGACAUAUCCUAUCAUUGUGGAGACUUAGUACUGCCUUCUGAAAUAUGUUUUAAAAUGUAUCGAUCAUAUACAGUAAGUCUUUAAACUAUGAAAAUAUUUUUAUGUCAUUUGUUGUAGUCUCUAUCUCUUUCUGUAUCAAAGUCUCCUGGUGGGAAAAAUUUAGUCCACAGCCGUGUUGGAAUGAUAUCAAACCUGCCAGAUCUUCCUUUCUGGACUCUUUUUUGCUAAAUAAGGGAUUGUUUUUCACUGAUUUUGCCUGAACAGCCUGAUAUCGGUUCCAAUUAUUUCUACUUUUUAAUAAAAAUCCAGAGUUAGAAGCUAUUUGUGAACUCCCUGAAGUUCAGUAAAAAUAAUAGGACUGCACCUAUAUUUUUCAAAAAGCAUAUACAAAUUAUUUUCUUCUAUAUUAAUUUUUCUAAAGCUUCCAAAUAGGUUUUCUAAGAACUUGAACUGAUUUAACCUGUUUAAAUGUAAGACUUUCUCAGAAUAUCCAUGGUUAAGUUUCAUACUUUUAACUAAGAGAAAUCCUAAGUGCAUAUAAAUUAUACUUCAGUUUACUAAGGGCAAAGAUUGAGAAAGAGACAAACUCCAUCUGUAGCGUGGCCUUGUGAAGCCUAAGAGAUGCAUACAGAUACUUAAAAAAUAAUGCUAAAAGCCCAACAUUUGAUUCAUUCUCAUUUUAAGCAUAAAUAUAAUUUUUUCUGUGUCAUUGAAACCAAAAAUAUAAUUAUGAUAGCAUUAUAACCUGUAUUUUAUUAAAUAAGAGAACAUAAACUGACUUUCACAAUUUCGGUUUUCUUUAAGGAUAAAAUUCUAAUCAAAUAAUUUCUUUCCUUACGUGUAUUGAAUUUCUGGAUUGUUUUAGGACAGGUGAGGCUAUCCUGCACCAACAAUCUAAUCCUGAGGUCUCUGUGAUUUAACAUGACAACAAUUCAUUUCCUGUUUAUAAAAACUGCAAUGCAAGAAGGAUCCUUCUGCUCUGUGUGACUCAGGGAUCCAGGCAGCUUCCAUCUGAAGAUACUGGUGUCUCAGCACGCGGACUGGAUGACUGUGGCAAAGGCACCUUCCUUUCCAUUUACAGACCAUGGGCCAGAAUUAGUUUCAUGGCCUUCAACCAAACCAUUUUUUUUUUUGUGUUCAGGAAAAAGAAAAUGAACCAGGACUAGGGAAACACCAAGUAUUACCUUUGCCACAAUUUUAAGCAUAGACCCUUUGAAAAUAUUUUUUCUUGACCAAUUGCCCUUGGAAAAGGAUAUCCAAAUUAGAGCUAUUACUCAUCUUUGAUUCCUUUUGUUCCUGAUGGAAAAUGUUUCAAGAAAGCACAUAAUACCCUCAAACAACUGACCAUUCAGCCAAGGAAUUUGUGAACAUCUCUGGUUUAUCAUUGCCUUAAAGAUUUAACAUCGCGACAUGUUUUAUUAUAAUUGGAUAUUGCAAAUAAGAAUGGGCUAGAGAUGUAAGAAUGUAUCAGUUCAGAGUAUGGCCAAGAGAAUGAAAGUCUCUCAUUGUGAUUGCAGUUUAGCUUUUUUUUUGAGACAGAGUCUCACUAUGUCGCCCUUGGUAGAGUGCCACGGAGUCACAGCUCACAGCAACCUCCAACUCUUGGGCUUAAGCAAUUCUCUUGCCUCAGCCUCCAAGUAGCUGGGGCUACAGGUGCCUACCACAACACCUGGCUAUUUUUUUGUUGCAGUUGUCAUUGUUGUUUAGCUGGCCCUGGCUGGGUUCGAACCGGCCAGCCUCAGUGUAUGUGGCUGGCGCCGUAACUACCGUGCUAUGGGUGCUGAGUUUGUGGUUUAGCUUUUUGAAAAUAUUCCCAUGGAAAAUGGUUUGUAUGUUUCAGAUAAUAAAUAUGGUCUCACAACUUUUACUGCAUUAGUAUUUGAUGGAGUUGAG